AUGAUGUUGUUGCCCUCUUCCUCCAUGCUGCUGCCGCCUUCGAUUCAGCCCCCCGCGCCCAGCAGUCUCCGCAUUGAGCUACCCCAUGCACAUAAGUUGUUUGUGUAUAUACCCCAAACAAAAAGGUAUGUUUUUUGUGUCUACAUUGUAGUCCAAAGAAGUUUUGCACAUAAGCUCAAGUGGUUAUUACUGCUGCAAUUUAUAGAUGUUGACGUUGAUGAUUCUGUACACAUUUUAACAGAAGUUCAAAGUUUCAAUCAAAAGGGGGGAAAAGAGCUCCAUUUUAUGAAGAAAACUAAAAAGCCAUUGUCACAGGGACGAUCAUGA
rnacentral:rRNA from 1 species